GCCUUCGUGGUGUAGUGGUCAGCAUGCUCGACGUGUAACCAAGAGGUCCGUGGUUCGAUUCCCGGCGAAGGCG
rnacentral:tRNA from 1 species